CUAUCUUCCACUCCCUUCAUCAGGAUCAUAAGGAGAUAUUUCUUGAACUCUAACUAUGCAGCAUUCCCAGAAGGAAAGUUUCGUGAGAGGGGAGAUGAUAAGUCUGUACUAUGCCAGACAUUUCCCACUCUCACACUUGUCUACUUAGUUUCCAACAACUGAACUUACAGAAGUUUCUGCCCCAGGGCUUCUAUACAACACAAAAGAAUCUAGACCUCCUAUGCUUCAGCGGUAAUAAUAAUGGUAAUUACUGCUUGAAUAUCUGUGCCAUAGAGAUUCUCCUCUGCUACCCAUACAGUGAAGAACAGAGUUAGUAUGUGUUUUUCUUCAUGGAAUACUUUCAUCAAUUCUGAAGCCAAGAUUGACUUCCCUGUGCCAUUUAUACACGCUACCAUAUACCACUGGUAUUAAAGGAUCACAAAUUAUACACGCUACCAUAUA